GACGUAGGGCGCGAGCGUUGUCCGGAUUUAUUGGGCGUAAAGAGCUCGUAGGCGGCUUGUCGCGUCGUCCGUGAAAACCCACAGCUCAACUGUGGGCUUGCGGUCGAUACGGGCAGGCUAGAGUUCGGUAGGGGAGACUGGAAUUCCUGGUGUAGCGGUGAAAUGCGCAGAUAUCAGGAGGAACACCGGUGGCGAAGGCGGGUCUCUGGGCCGAAACUG
rnacentral:rRNA from 1 species